AAAUAAUUAGAACGUCACAUACUGCAUAAACCUAUUCUUGCAAAGGUGACUCAAUCUAUUUUUCACUUGCAAAUAGUAAAAAUGUAUCGUUACUGGUGCUUCCUUGGCACAGUUCUCGUUGCGGUUGUAGUGGGACAAGUGCAAGACGCAUGCACUCCAUCUGGCACUAAAUGCUACUUCUACAAGGAUUGUUUAGAAGCGAAAUUUACAUGUGGUCCCAGCGGCUAUGCAAUGGAUUACGGGUUUCGAUUCUGUAAUAAGUUUCAAGAAAAUCGAGUCUUGUUUUCUCCACUUGGUAAAAUGUGGGUUUCAGCUACGUGCUUCUGUCUACAAAACAAUCUGGUGGGCCCCACUACAAAUGGAACAUUCAAUGCAACGACAACGUGUACAGACAUCAACAAUUUUGCUUGGACAACGCAUCUAGGUUGUUACACUGAUACCAAUCCAUCCGUUUGCAAUAUUCCGAUCAUUGAUUGGAUUAUCAUCUUGAACACAGUGAAGGAAAGCUUCAAUGAUUUGAUGUCGUACGAACUUGUGGCGCAGGUUGGACAUAUUUGUGGCACAGAGUACUAUGAAAAAGUUGUGAAGAUUCUGAAUGUAUUAAUCAUAUGAAUCUUUUUUAAAUGAUUUGGGAAUUAAAGACCUUGUUCAAUAAAUCGGAACAACAAACACUG